UUGGCACUAUUGUGUUUCACAAAUGCUGCACGUUCAAAGUUAAUCAUUUCAAUAAUAUUUAAAUAUUUUGUGAUGUGGAUCCUAAUUCAAAAAUAUUGCAUGCUAAACGUUCAAUAAAUAUCGUGAUGCAGAAAUAUCAUUCCUCUGUCAUGUAUGCUCCCUUGUCCAUUGUCAAUUCGGGUUUGCUCUGUUAUUAUUUUUCGUGUUUUCGAUUCAAUAUUAUGGAAAUUGUUUUUACAAGGUGGCUAUGUUGAAUGUAUGAUAUAUACUUGAAUUUAUCGUUGGUUUUGAAACAUCGACAAAUUAGACCGAUUUGACACAGGCAAUUUUUGUUGCGGCAAUUCUUAGUUUUAUAGGUCUUAGUUAUAUUCCUAUUAGAGAGCCACCACAGCAGUUGAGCUGUUAGUUUUAUAUACAUAGAUUUCACAACAAAGUUGAACUUGGGUGUUUUAGAACUUCUUGUAAUGAAGUCAAUUUGCGAAAUUAUAGGGAAAUAUUUAAAUAUUUUGGUGUUGUUAAACGUUCAAUAUGUUUGGUCUUUUUAUUUGCCUGGAUUAGCUCAUGUGAACUAUUGUGUUAAAUCUGAUUCAUCUAAUUCAUGCAAGUUAUACGUGUGUGCACAGGAAAGGAAGAGCAAGGAGGUGGCGGUGGAAUUGGUAGAGGUUUUUGGAUUUAGUACUGGUGCAAUAUAGUAUAACAACAACGCAGAAACAAUGAUAUUGAAAACACAAAGGCGUUAGGCGUCAAUUGGUAAUACCAAGUGUAACCAGGUCGCUCUCCACCUGGUCCCUCCAACGGAGUGGAGGCCUUCCCCUUCCUCGGCUUCCUCCGGCGUGUACUGCAUCGAACACUUUCAGGGCUGGAGUGUUUUCGUCCAUUCUAACAACAUGACCUAUCUAGCGUAGCCGCAGUCUUUUUAUUCGCUGAACUAUGUCAAUGUCGUAGUACAACUCAUACAGCUCAUCAUUUCAUCUUAUGCGGUAUUCGCCGUUUCCAAUGUUUAAGGGACCAUAAAUCCUCAAAACCUUUCUCUCGAAAACUCCUAGUGCCGUCUCAUCGGAUGUUGACACCGUCCACGCUUCCGCACCAUAAAGUAGGACGGGAAUGAUGAGGGACUUGUAGAGUUUAGUUUUUGCUCAUCGAGAGAGGACUUUACUUUUCAAUUGCCUACUCAGAAACACAAAUACUUUGUACAAAUGGAGGAUUACAAUAGCUACAACUUUUAUUAGGCAUGAUAAACAAGACAACAACGAAUCCCAUCGGACAUUUAGAUUAGCAGUUGCACAACCUCUUUCCGACGAGCUGAACCUUUUUUUGAUGUACAUAUGAGAUAGGAGUGUGUGGAAUUGACAUCAAACCAUAUUGGUUCAUUAGUUUGGUUGGAUCCUUACAGGAUAGUUAUAAGGAAAUCGUUCGCGUUUAGUAUUAAUUUAUUCAUUUGCUAAUUCAUAAUUUAUAUGUAAAAUAUUAUUAAAUUAUACAAAUGAAUGUUCGAAUACUAAUAACAUUCGUAAUAGUAAUGGAAUUUUAUUUGAAUUGUAUAACAACAACUACAAAAAAUUAAAAUGUAAUAAUUAAUACUAAAUUUCUAUAUGAAAUAUGUAAAACGUAAAAAUUUAAUAAUUAAUACUAACUUUAUUUUUAAAAUAUAUAAAUUUUGUCAAUGUAUAAAUAUAAAUGUAUA